UCGAGAAUAUUUCGCAAUGGGCGAAAGCCUGACGAAGCGACGCCGUGUGAAUGAUGAAGGCCUUCGGGUUGUAAAGUUCUGUUACCUGGGAGCAAGAAGGCAUAUUGAAUAGGUAUGCCUGAUGAGAGUACCAGGGGAGAAAGCACCGGCUAAUUCCGUGCCAGCAGCUGCGGUAAUACGGAAGGUGCAAGCGUUAAUCGGAAUUACUGGGCGUAAAGGGUGCGUAGGCGGGAAUGAACGUCAGAUGUGAAAUUUUGGGGCUUAACCUCAAAGCUGCAUCUGAAACGGCAUUUCUUGAGGAAAUGCGGAGAGAAUGGAAUUCCAUGUGUAGCGGUGAAAUGCGUAGAUAUAUGGAAGAACACCUGUGGCGAAAGCGGUUCUCUAGCUUAAUACUGACGCUGAUGCACGAGAGCAAGGGGAGCAAACAGG
rnacentral:rRNA from 1 species